rnacentral:rRNA from 1 species
CCUACGGGAGGCAGCAGUCGAGAAUCAUUCACAAUGGGGGAAACCCUGAUGCAGCGACGCCGCGUGAGCGAUGAAGUAUUUCGGUAUGUAAAGCUCUAUCAGCAGGGAAGCAAAUGACGGUACCUGACUAAGAAGCCCCGGCUAACUACGUGCCAGCAGCCGCGGUAAUACGUAGGGGGCAAGUGUUAUCCGGAUUUACUGGGUGUAAAGGGAGCGUAGACGGCUUGGCAAGCCAGAUGUGAAAGGGUGGGGCGCAACCCCAGGACUGCAUUUGGAACUGUCAUGCUAGAGUGUCGGAGAGGCAGGCGGAAUUCCUAGUGUAGCGGUGAAAUGCGUAGAUAUUAGGAGGAACACCAGUGGCGAAGGCGGCCUGCUGGACGAUGACUGACGUUGAGGCUCGAAAGCGUGGGGAGCAAACAGGAUUAGAUACCCCAGUAGUC